rnacentral:lncRNA from 1 species
AAAAUACAGUAUGAGGAUUGUGAGAAAGAGAGAAAUAGCCAGUUCACCAUGUGCGUAAGGUUUCAUUUGGGGAGAUUUAGAUAUUACGGUGCACAGGUUAAAAUUCACACAGGUUCCAUACAGUCAAGAACUUAAGUUGUCCUGGAUCGAAGUUACCAAGUGGGGAUUUAAGCAGAGGGAGAAAAAUAUUCGGUCGAUCAGGUUGUUGUGCCGAGUUUGAAUCGGAAUCUUCUAUUUGCCAAGCGGGUUUUACUAAUUGAACUAUCCAGAAAAGUACGUGUCCGGUGGAGAAUUAAACUAUUGAAGUUGCUUUCGAGAGUAUUUCUUCAGCGUUUGAGAGUAACUGUUUCAGAGGUAUGAGGUAGCUUACUCUCGAAUAGACCAUGAUCGGAGAGCCACUGGCACAAUUCGAAACAAUUUCAUAUUUUAUAUCACGAGAUAUAGUAUAUCACGAGAGUUGGUUACAAGUUUGAACGCUCCGUAAAAAAAAAAUUCAACGGACAAUUUAUAAUUUGAGAAACCAGGUGACACAAGAACUCAAAAAAAGAAAAAAUAGAAAAAAGAAGUAGCAGCGAUCCGAUAAAAAAAGGAACUUCAAAUUGGCUCUAUUUUGGGACUUUGAAAUUUUUAAUUCCAUCUCUCGCAAUAAACACCACAAAAUCGUCACACAUGAAGGCAUCGAUGGUUAAUUGUAAAUAAAAGGAAUUGGUUCAAUUGAACUAAAUUCACUGAACUUCUGUUGCCUUCACUCCCACAAAAUUGCAAAACAUCUUGGUAUCAUGUUCAAUUCGAAAAUCCCUUCUAAAUGAUGAACGUUACAGAUAGUAAGCCUUCGAAAUGAUUUUUCCGCGAAAUUUGUUACAAUUGACGCAUAAUCCUUACCUGAUAGCUAUGACAUACAGGUUAGGUUCAACUAACGAUUGACAGAUGGGAUGCGACCUUGUAUUAUUGACUAACUUUAUACGGAAAAAUUUUCUUUAUUUUUAUUUUGUUAUUUUCUUACGGUAAGAUUUUUGUAUCUUCACGAAAGUAUUAUAUUAACCAGAAUAGCAUUAUCGUGGUAAAUAAUUUUAUUUAAAUAGCAAACAAUAAAAAUGGAAACGAUAAUAGACAAAAUUCAAUGAUUUUAAACGGUAUCGACAUAUAUGUAAUUCUGAUUAUGUUACAUUAAAUAAUACAUUAUUUAUCAAUAUAUAAGAAAUAAACACAGUGCUUCAUAUUUAAUAAAAAUAGCUUCAGUAAUUAUACCAAAAUUAAGCUGAAGAAUAAAUACUUAAUGGGUUGCUUCUUUUAAAGGAACUCAACUUUGUUAAACAUUAUUUAGAUUUUCAAAAGAUUUUAUAAUAUUAAAAAGAAACGUUACUAAAUUCUAUACUGAAUAAAAAAAAAAAAUAUAUUAAAAAGAAAUGUCAUUUUUUUACAAUUUUCAAUUUUACAAUUCCAUUAAGCUUUAUAUCUAAUCUAAGUUAGAAGAAAUAACUUCAUGAAACAUGAAACAAACAUUAUGGAGAUCCUAAUCGACGAAGUCAUAUUAAAAAUCUAGACAUUAAAAAAACGUUUAGACGUUUUAAGUCGCAAUAUUGUUUUUUACAAGGAAUUAAUAUUUAAAAAUCAAUACGGGGCUAAAUUAUGUAUUUCUUAAUAUACGACUGGAUAUAUAACGAUCAUAUAACUACUCUUAUAAAAUUCCUGCAAAGUAGCUGAAGAGACUUGAGCAACGUAAAUAUGAAUUGCACCACAGAUGAUGAUGCAAGAUACAUUUCAAUUACAUGAUAAUUAUACAUACUCUAGUAUUAUACGCUUUUUUACUACUAAGCUUUAUUUCCAAUAUACAUUUCUUAAAAAGAUUGGUUUAAGACAGACUCGUUCUAUCCAUUGUGAACUAUAUCCAGUGCUCUCUAUAUUAUUAUAAAUAGUUUAGGAUUGUAUACUGCAUAUAUACAUUUUGCGUACUUUUGCAUUUUAAAUGCACCUUAGAAUAAAUAUUGCAAACAAUAAGUAUAUCAAAUAUCACAGUAAUGGAAGCAAAAACACAUUUACACAAUAACCAUUCCUAUAUCAAUAAAUAUAUUAAUAAAUAUAUAUAAUAUAACAAAUAGAUAUAAUAACUAAUACCGACCUAUUAACUAGUGUUCAAUAACAAAUAUUCAGAAGGUUUACCAUUACUGCUUAAUAAAUAAUAUCACUAAAAUAUUUUUUUCGAACGUUAAUUUUUUAACUUUUACGAAAUCUUAUUAAAUAGGCAUAUAAUAAAAUAUUAUAUAAGCUUGUUCAGUGAGAUUGCACUUAUUUCACUAACAACUUCCAGAUAAAUGACUGAAACCCGAGUUCAACUUGGUUUAAAAUAUGGAUUGCUCUGGUAUUAUAGUUCAGAAAAUUAUCAGUUUCCGAUCCUUCAUAAUAACAGUAAUAAAAUUGACAAAGUGACGAGCCAUCAAGGUGAACGUGAAUGCACUAUAUACUACCAAAAAGAUAUUUCUCUUAUACAUGUAAAUAAUGUAUCGUGUUUAUUGUACUUAUUAUCUCUUGCCUUUCGUCUGCUUCCGGUUUGUAUAAUAUUCCUUACGAAUUUCAUAUAGCUGCCUUCCUUACGUUUAUUAUAUUUUACAAAUUCAUAAAAUAUUCAUCAUUAAGAACGUGGUAGAAGUAUAAUUAUAAGACAUAAUAUAAGUGAAAUCUUCAAGUAAAAUAUGGUAAGUUUAGCUAUCAUAGUGAUGAAAAACAACGUAUAAAUAAUGAAUAAUUAGCGAAAUAAUUUUGUGUAUGGAAGAUAAGGUAUUGCAUCUUUAAAUAAUUUCUUUCAUAGGAAUGAAUGAAAAUAUUACAGAAUUUAUGUGAAAAUAACAAACAUCAUAGUCAUAAAUAACUCGAUUAUUUGAUUCGAAGAAAAGAACGGAGAUCUGGAUCGACCAGAAAAACAGGUUUGCAGACAAUGUUUUCGCACGAGGAUCAAUUUCAGAUCAAUUUCAGAAACAUUUACGCAGUGAAAUAUUUAAAUCAAUUCGUACUUCAUUUUCUGUACAAAUUGUUAAAUAUUAGGUCACCCCAUAAGUUCGUGCCGUUUUUCGAGC